rnacentral:lncRNA from 1 species
CAGCGCAUCGAUGAGUUUGAAGCAAUGUGGGGACCCAAACUGUAUGCACUGUUCCAGAUGCGUUCUUGUCAAAGCAGCAUAAAGCAGAUGUAACAGGACGAUGCCUCCCUCCUCAUGAGGUAAGUAUAGCUGGCAGCCGCUGCGGGCGCGAUCCCAUGCCCCCAGGAGACAUGCACAGAUCCUGGGGGACCCCCUAGAACCUACAUCUGUUCACCUGCUGACCAGAGCCUUUAGUUACUGUCAAGCUGAAGGAGCUGAGCCCCAGCGUGCUAUAGCGUCCCAUCCUGCGCCAUCCUGACCUUCUCGAUAGUCCGCAUCCAACAGGCUCUUCCCCAGGCAAGGACUCCAUCCUCCAAUAAAUCACUUCGCUGUCAGCUUGAGUCUGUGAAAGUGAGAUUUUUAUCUGUGACUGUGGUCAAGUGCUGUUUUAGGUAGGACGCUUUGUUGCAUCUGUGAAAGGCUCUCUGGAUAAGUGAGAAUGGGGCGUUAGGCGUGUCCCCUCACACGUGACUCUUCGGAGUAUUAAAGCCAUACAGCUAUGCUGUACCUGCAUGUUGGGUCAGAAGAUCAAAGAACUGGUUCAUCUGCCUUAUUAAUAAAGUUAUUAUGCACCUCCCUCA